rnacentral:rRNA from 1 species
AUGCCAUGGAUGGGCGCACCCACCGGCGAGCUCCCCAGCUGCCGGAUCCGGCAUCUUGGACCUCCCCUGCGCCCUGCUAACUCCUGGAGUGCCAGCAAAAAACCUGUUGCCCCGCCAAGGCGCCUGCUCGUUCCCUGCAUGAGGUUCCCAGUCCCGCCUCUGCUUCGUUCGAACCGGGAGGUCGAGACACCCCUGCCUCAUGUGAACCGUGCCGCCGCGCGGAGCUUCCUCCUUCCCCUGCCGUCGUCAUCACCCGAGCAGGCUGCCGCUGCCAAGUCCCUCGCCCCGCCUCUGCUUCCAUGCUCCAGAUCAAACGAGCAAGCCGCCAUGGACACCGACGCCUGGAGCUCCAAGUCCACCGUUGCACUGAUCCGGUCGCUCUUCCUUGGAUCAGGUCGGAUUCCCCCUUGCCUCCGCCGUCUCCCGCUGGUCCCGAGCGCUGCUGGUCACCUUCUCCUUGACCGCCGGGGUUCGCCCCGCUGUUGCGUUCCUCUGCCUCGUCCAGGUCCCCGAGCAUUUGCUUCCAGCGCCCGCGUUGACCAGCGCCCUCCCUUCAUCAAAUCCAGCCCAGCCGCGACCUGCGCGAGGCCCAGCGCUCUAGCCGGCCACUGCUCCACCGACCUGGGCCAUGGCCCAUGGCUUCGGUUUCAUUCUGGAGUUGUGAGGAUUCGUUCGACUACGUCCGCUUGUCUUCUUCAUGGACUCGUUCUUCCUUGUGGGAUCUCAGGUGCCGAGGAUACCAGUGCAGGUGAUGCUACCAAACUCAAGUUGGAGUUCGACGAGGAUCUAGGUCGUUACUACGUUUCGUUUCCUGAUGAUCAGUAG